rnacentral:rRNA from 1 species
UACGUAGGGUGCGAGCGUUGUCCGGAAUUACUGGGCGUAAAGAGCUCGUAGGUGGUUUGUCGCGUUGUUCGUGAAAACUCACAGCUCAACUGUGGGCGUGCGGGCGAUACGGGCAGACUGGAGUACUGCAGGGGAGACUGGAAUUCCUGGUGUAGCGGUGGAAUGCGCAGAUAUCAGGAGGAACACCUGCGGCGAAGGCGGGUAGCUGGGCCGACACUGACGCUGAGGCGCGAAAGCCAGGGGAGCGAACGGG